AUAUGGCAAUAGUCUCCAUCCAUCCUUUCUCUGUCUAUAUAUAAUCCUUUAUGCAGGUUUGGAACAAAACAAUGGACUUUAUAUAACUGUGAGGCAGACGAAGGAAUCUUUGGGGACCCUUUCAAAACUCUCGUUAUCUUGGGGAAACACUGUUUAGGGAAGGAGGAGCGGUGGGGCGGGGAGUUGUUGUCCUUCCACGUCAUCAUUUCCAACUGGUAGGCCAAGGGGAUGUCUUCCACGUGGCAAGAUAUCCCUUUUAACGUGUUCGUUAGUCAUUGGGUGCUGACGCAACUAAAAACGUGAAACGCGUGUCUAUUUUUGAGCGCGGGAAUAGGGAAGGCCGACUGCCAAGUGGAAGAACAAGGGCGGUUGGGCCCCCACUUGAUCACGCGUCGACCGUUAAAAAGGCCUAACUCUCAAAGUAACUUUCCCUGGAAUCUGACCUCAUCGGCUUUUGUAAGCUAACCCAAUGAAACUUCGUAAAGAGCUGGUGGUGGACCCGGUUUCCACAGAAUGACGUAAUUGCCCUUAGGAAUUAACUCCUAUUUUAGUUUUUUUUUUUCCUCGAAUUUAACUACCAUUAUCUGUUUUUUUAAAGUGUUUUAAAAGAGAAUAAAAAAUUAUAUGA